UAUGGGUAAGUGCCGUCCAGGGCAUGGUGGAAGUCCGAAGCGCCUCUGACGUGCAAAUCGAUCGUCGGAACCGAGUGUAAGGGCGAAAGACCAAUCGAGCCGUCUUGUAG
rnacentral:rRNA from 1 species